GACGAACGCUGGAGGCGUGCUUAACACAUGCAAGUCGAACGGAAAGGCCCUGCUUUUGUGGGGUGCUCGAGUGGCGAACGGGUGAGUAACACGUGAGUAACCUGCCCUUGACUUUGGGAUAACUUCAGGAAACUGGGGCUAAUACCGGAUAGGAGCUCCUGCUGCAUGGUGGGGGUUGGAAAGUUUCGGCGGUUGGGGAUGGACUCGCGGCUUAUCAGCUUGUUGGUGGGGUAGUGGCUUACCAAGGCUUUGACGGGUAGCCGGCCUGAGGGGGUGACCGGCCACAUUGGGACUGAGAUACGGCCCAGACUCCUACGGGAGGCAGCAGUGGGGAAUAUUGCACAAUGGGCGGAAGCCUGAUGCAGCAACGCCGCGUGCGGGAUGACGGCCUUCGGGUUGUAAACCGCUUUCGCCUGUGACGAAGCGUGAGUGACGGUAAUGGGUAAAGAAGCACCGGCUAACUACGUG
rnacentral:rRNA from 1 species